AGGUUACCGCUAUCGGUGUUCGCCUAAGCCAUGCGAGUCAUAUGUUCGUAAGAACAUGGCGUACUGCUCAGUAACACGUGGAUAACCUGCCCUUGGGUCCGGCAUAACCCCGGGAAACUGGGGAUAAUUCCGGAUAACGCACAUAUGCUGGAAUGCUUUAUGCGUAAAAUGGAUUCGUCUGCCCAAGGAUGGGUCUGCGGCCUAUCAGGUAGUAGUGGGUGUAAUGUACCUACUAGCCUACGACGGGUACGGGUUGUGAGAGCAAGAGCCCGGAGAUGGAUUCUGAGACAUGAAUCCAGGCCCUACGGGGCGCAGCAGGCGCGAAAACUUUACAAUGCGGGAAACCGUGAUAAGGGGACACCGAGUGCCAGCAUCCUAUGCUGGCUGUCCGGGUGUGUAAAAUACACCUGUUAGCAAGGGCCGGGCAAGACCGGUGCCAGCCGCCGCGGUAACACCGGCGGCCCGAGCGGUGAUCGUGAUUAUUGGGUCUAAAGGGUCCGUAGCCGGUUUGGUCAGUCCUCCGGGAAAUCUGACAGCUUAACUGUUAGGCUUUCGGAGGAUACUGCCAGACUUGGAACCGGGAGAGGUAAGAGGUACUACAGGGGUAGGAGUGAAAUCUUGUAAUCCCUGUGGGACCACCUGUGGCGAAGGCGUCUUACCAGAACGGGUUCGACGGUGAGGGACGAAAGCUGGGGGCACGAACCGGAUUAGAUACCCGGGUAGUCCCAGCCGUAAACGAUGCUCGCUAGGUGUCAGGCAUGGCGCGACCGUGUCUGGUGCCGCAGGGAAGCCGUGAAGCGAGCCACCUGGGAAGUACGGCCGCAAGGCUGAAACUUAA
rnacentral:rRNA from 1 species